rnacentral:rRNA from 1 species
GAAGCAUCUGCCAAGGAUGUUUUCAUUAAUCAAGAACGAAAGUUAGGGGAUCGAAGACGAUCAGAUACCGUCGUAGUCUUAACCAUAAACGAUGCCGACCAGCGAUUAGGAGACGUUGAAUACAAAACACCACCAUCGGCGCGGUCGUCCUUGGCGUCUCUGUCCCUUUCAACGGGGGCAUGGCCGCGAGGGCGGUUUAGCCCGGUGGCACCGGUGAAUGACUCCCCU